rnacentral:lncRNA from 1 species
CCCUCUCUCUCUCUCUCUCUCUCCUAUAUAUAUAUAUAGAUAUAUUAUAUAUAUAAUAUAUAUCCGUAUUUCCCCACCUCUCUGCCUGAUUGAUCUCAUCUCUCUUCUGAAUUUCCCCCCCUACUUUUGUCCCUCUUCUCUCUUCCUAACCCUAAGAAAUCUCUAGGUAGAUUCUCAAGAGAAGACAACAAAACAUCAAUCACUGAUUUUGGGCAUAUAAGAUGCAAGGGUUGGGUGCUGAGAACCCACAAACAAGCACGACCGUGGAUCCCCGGACAUCUAUCAUCGUCCAUGAUCCCCUUAAUCUUGAUUGAUUGCUCUCCAACACCAUGUCCAAGUUCGGACUGUUAGUCACCGUACGCGCUCUAUUAAGCCACCAAUUCAUUGAGAGUCACCAUGCCACGGGCCACCUGGAGUUUUCUUGCUCCAUUGUGAGACACCAUGUAAUGAACUGGAUUUUUCCUCGCUCUCUCAUGAGGUAUCCACGGCCAUGAAUUUGUCUACUUGAUGGAGAGUUAUUUUGUGAGCCCGCGAUCACUGUAUGAGACCUGGAGUGUCUGCCCAUGUAUCAUCGGUAAUCGACUCUGAUAUCACUUCCCAGGAAAUUCAGGGAGCCCCAUUCGUUGGGGAAAUCUGUGAAAUCCACGUGCACAGGAUUUGGACCAAAUACACUGCAAGUGGUGAGUCCAUUCAAUCCAUGUUAGGAUCCAAUCGUUUAUUCAUAUUCCGAAUUGGGACUUUCUCAUUUCAAGUUCACACAGCCUAUUCUUUCACGUGAAUAGACAACCAUGUUCAAUUGAUUUGGAAAGCAUCCCCAAAGGUAUUUAUCAAUAUGCUUACCAGAGCCGCUUAUAUUAGGAACUGAGGGACGCCUUGAUGUUUUUAAGUGGUUGUGGUGGUCAAUUCUUUCUUUGGUUGGUGCACUGACAGCUUCUUCACAAAUUGGCCUAAAAUGCAUUGCUAUAGCUCAGAGGAUGUAGCUGUCUGGUAGGUGGGACCCUAUCGAAGCCACUUUAAAUGCUUUCGUGGAUUAGAUAGUUUGUAGUGUAUUUGCAUAGCUAAUACAUGGAGUAGAUUUGCCAACGUGUCAUUGAUGAUCGGACCUUUCCAUGACUCUAUAUGGUUUGGACGAGCCAACACCUUGUAACUAAUCCCACCAAAAGAUUGACAAAGCAGAAGACUAGCCUGAUGCAACGGAGGGAGGAACUGUUUUUUCAUCCUUGAGCUGAUUGGGAUAGUGAACUUCGACCGGGCUUUGUUUUGUCCCUUCUAUUGGCUAGUCCGGCUUUCGCUGUUUUAGGUCUUUUGUACAUCUUUCUUUUACGUAUUUCCUGUGCUAUUGUUGCCCUCUUCUCUUGAUAUGCUGGAGCUUUUCAGUUAAAGAGUCAUAAGCUAAUUGAACUAUCUAUGAUGACGAUAGGAAGCUAAAUUCUUGUUCUGUUUCUAUUUGUUCUCUUGUUUAAGAAUAAGAAGAUUAAAAAAGUGGCCAUUGAACUCCUGAAAUUCUGAAUUGGGAAAGCAGACUAAUUUCUGAAAAAAAAUUGCUUUUAUAUUACUAAAAAGAAGGUAUAAUGACAAAAUAGGUUACUCUGAGGCACAACUUUCAUUGAAACUGAAGGAAGCCCAAAACAGAUCAAUUUGAAGCCCAUUGAAAUUUAACGAAUAAAUCUUUUCGUUUGGACGUUCUGGUUGGUUUCCCCUUUUCCCAAGGUUCUUUAGAUGUUUGGUUCUCUUUCUUCUAUAUCUGUGGCUGAUUCUCAGAGGUCAGCUCUGCCCCUUUUCUUGUAUUUUAGUUUUCUUAUUUUUUUUGGUUUAGGUAAUUCAUAUUAUAUAUAUAUCUAUAUACUAAUAACUAUGUAGCACGGACACAGACACAAAUACGGACACGGACACGGUAUUUUUGAAAAAAUGGACACAAACACGGCAGGGGACACGACAUAUAAUAUUAAUAUAAAUACUGAUUAUAAUAUAUGUUUCUUGAUAACACUAAAAGUAACAUUCUAUUUCUAACCUAACAGUUACAACUUACAACCCAAUUGAAAGAGAAAUAUCCAUAGUUCCAUAAUAUAAGCAAAAUAAAUAACCUAAGGCAACAUGAACCUAUCUCCAAAUUUUAACUAGACCCAACUUCCAUCACUUCAACUCGCUAUUGAUUCCCUCAACACUCAUUUGUCCGUUAAAGACUAAUUAUAAUUUUGCCCAUAAAGUUUAAAAAAUUGCAAAUGGGAACCCCGCCGUUGUCCCCCUUCAAAAAAUAUUAGAAAAUUCGGACACGCCACGUAGGUGGCCCAUACGUUUUUUUGCGUGUGUCCCCGCCGUGUCCCCGUUGCUCUCCCAAACGUCAAAUUACAAAAAUUUUUUUAAAUGUCACCUUCUAGGAGUGUCGGUGUUUCAUAGACUAAUAAAUUGUGAGUGCACAGUAAGUAACAUGUUUAUCACCAACUUCUUUCCCUUUUGCCCAUGCUUAAUUUUUUUCAGUGUAAAUUACAGUUUCAAUCCC